CCUACGGGAGGCAGCAGUGGGGAAUUUUGGACAAUGGGCGCAAGCCUGAUCCAGCCAUGCCGCGUGCGGGAAGAAGGCCUUCGGGUUGUAAACCGCUUUUGUCAGGGAAGAAAAGGUUCUGGCUAAUACCUGGGACUCAUGACGGUACCUGAAGAAUAAGCACCGGCUAACUACGUGCCAGCAGCCGCGGUAAUACGUAGGGUGCAAGCGUUAAUCGGAAUUACUGGGCGUAAAGCGUGCGCAGGCGGUUAUGCAAGACAGAGGUGAAAUCCCCGGGCUCAACCUGGGAACUGCCUUUGUGACUGCAUAGCUAGAGUACGGUAGAGGGGGAUGGAAUUCCGCGUGUAGCAGUGAAAUGCGUAGAUAUGCGGAGGAACACCGAUGGCGAAGGCAAUCCCCUGGACCUGUACUGACGCUCAUGCACGAAAGCGUGGGGAGCAAACAGGAUUAGAUACCCUGGUAGUCCACGCCCUAAACGAUGUCAACUGGUUGUUGGGAGGGUUUCUUCUCAGUAACGUAGCUAACGCGUGAAGUUGACCGCCUGGGGAGUCGGCCGCAAGGUUGAAACUCAAAUGAAUUGACGG
rnacentral:rRNA from 1 species